CCUACGGGAGGCAGCAGUGAGGAAUAUUGGUCAAUGGGCGCGAGCCUGAACCAGCCAAGUAGCGUGAAGGAUGACUGCCCUACGGGUUGUAAACUUCUUUUAUAAAGGAAUAAAGUGAGGCACGUGUGCCUUUUUGUAUGUACUUUAUGAAUAAGGAUCGGCUAACUCCGUGCCAUCAGCCGCGGUAAUACGGAGGAUCCGAGCGUUAUCCGGAUUUAUUGGGGUUAAAGGGAGCGGAGAUGGGGUGUUAAGUCAGUUGUGAAAGUUUGCGGCUCAACCGUAAAAUUGCAAUUGAUACUGGCAGUCUUGAGUACAGUUGAGGUAGGCGGAAUUCGUGGUGUAGCGGUGAAAUGCUUAGAUAUCACGAAGAACUCCGAUUGCGAAGGCAGCUUACUAAACUGCCACUGACAUUGAUGCUCGAAAGUGUGGGUAUCAAACAGGAUUAGAUACCCCAGUAGUC
rnacentral:rRNA from 1 species